GAUGAAGAACGCAGCGAAAUGCGAUAAGUAGUGUGAAUUGCAGAAUUCAGUGAAUCAUCGAAUCUUUGAACGCACAUUGCGCCCCUUGGUAUUCCAUGGGGCAUGCCUGUUCGAGCGUCAUUUGUACCUUCAAGCUUUGCUUGGUGUUGGGUGUUUGUCCUGAGGGACUCGCCUUAAAGUAAUUGGCAGCCAGUGUUUUGGUUUUGAAGCGCAGCACAAGUCACGAUUCAAAGCUAUACGCCAGCUUCCACAAGCCUUUUUCACUUUUGACCUCGGAUCAGGUAGGGAUACCCGCUGAACUUAAGCAUAUCAAUAAGCGGAGGA
rnacentral:misc_RNA from 1 species